GCCGACAGAAAACUUAAUGACGCUCGUAAUCUGCCAGUCAAUCUUUUUCGUCUUGGACGAAUCGACGAAUCUUUUUCGAGACAUCGAUGAAUGAAAAUUCGAGGCAGUCAUUUUACUGAAUGGAUUAGAUCACGAGAGAAGAACGAUAAUUUAGGACUUAGAAAAUCGAUUCUCCAUUCGACAGAAUCGAUCGUCUUAUUUACCACAAGGAUUUACGUUAUUACACAUAUAAUGAAGCAGUAGAACCAUCAGUAACUAACAACUCCUCCAAAAAUAUCCUGAAAUAAUUGAUUUUACCGAAGAACAGAUUUAAUAUGUAUGCAGCUCUUCAGAACUCGCGUUAUCCAAGUAGACCAAUACGACCAUCCCGCUGAAUCACCCAGAUACACCUGCUGGAAUAACAUUGCCGUCAUUAUCGUGUCUCCUUCAC